AUUGAACGCAGGCGGCAGGCCUAACACAUGCAAGUCGAGCGGGGUUUUCGGACCUAGCGGCGGACGGGUGAGUAAUGCGUAGGAAGCUGCCCGAUAGAGGGGGAUACCAGUUGGAAACGACUGUUAAUACCGCAUAAUGUCAACGGACCAAAGUGUGGGACCUUCGGGCCACAUGCUAUCGGAUGCGCCUACGUGGGAUUAGCUAGUUGGUGAGGGAAUGGCUCACCAAGGCGACGGUCUCUAGCUGGUUUGAGAGGAUGAACAGCCACACUGGAACUGAGACACGGUCCAGACUCCUACGGGAGGCAGCAGUGGGGAAUAUUGGACAAUGGGCGCAAGCCUGAUCCAGCCAUGCCGCGUGUGUGAAGAAGGCCUUCGGGUUGUAAAGCACUUUCAGCGAGGAGGAAGGGUGGUGUGUUAAUAGCACAUCAUUUUGACGUUACUCGCAGAAGAAGCACCGGCUAACUCUGUGCCAGCCGCCGCGGUAACAC
rnacentral:rRNA from 1 species